AAACUUGAGAGUUUGAUCCUGGCUCAGAACGAACGCUGGCGGCAGGUCUUAGGCAUGCAAGUCGAACGGGUGAAACAGGGCUUGCCCUGUGGAUCUAGUGGCGCACGAGUGAGUAACGCGUGGGAAACUGCCCAUUACUGGGGAAUAACGUUUGGAAACGAACGCUAAUACCGCAUACGCCGGAAACGGGAAAGAUUUAUCGGUGAUGGAUGUGCCCGCGUUGGAUU
rnacentral:rRNA from 1 species